GGAGAGUAGAGCUCAGUGGUAGAGGGCACGCUUAGCACGCGCGAGGCCCUGGAUUCAAUCCCCAGUGCCUCCA
rnacentral:tRNA from 1 species